ensembl:lncRNA LINC02994 long intergenic non-protein coding RNA 2994
UGUGCUAGAAAUCAGCGAGACUCCGUGGGCGUAGGAGCCUCCGAGCCAGGCUGUCUAGAAAAGGACACCAACAAUCACCCAUGAAGAUUGCCCUUCAACCUUUGGGAGGAAAUGAUCGAAAUGGGAGCUAGAGAAGAUUGUUGUUGGAAUCUCAGUUCUUCAGAGAGCUACUAUCAACAGAUUGAGUUGACAGGAAAAAGUCAUAAUCCAGGCCAAAGUGAGCAAACUCCCAAGAGCAUUCCUGGUCAGCACCGCAGCAAAUCCGUGGCAAGUGCAGAGAUUAUAAGCAAUUUCUCCAUGGCUGGAAUUCAGUUGAUCUGGGACUGAACCUAUUUCUAAUGGGCCCAGAAAGUUUUCCCUAAAGUAGGAAGAUGUCAGAAACUCUAAAGAAAGAAAAGAUAGUAUAUGAAACAUAUGAUGAUUACGUGUGAGUUUCAAAGGUUAUGUUUCACAAAAUGUGUUCAACUGAUGUAAAAGGGCAACUAUAUGAUCUACAGAGAAUGGAGAAUAAUUAUCCCAUUUUUAUUGAUUACCCCAACUGACUAAUAGAGCCCAAGCAUACUUCAAGCAGACACAUAGGUCCUUACUGCUUUAUCAUGAAUUUACAUAAUGACUGGCUGGUGAGGGUAGAUGUAAAUAAGUUUAGACAUAAAAGGUCAUAAUUGGAUCCACUUCCACAUAGACAUUUUCUUUGCUUCUGACUCUUCAGUCAUUAUUUCAUGUCAUGCCUUUAGCUUUAGACACUGUGGACAGUCCUCUGUACUACUUAGGUCAACUCUUUCCUUGACACAAACCUUGUUCCCCCUAUUUCAUUGACAAAAUAUCAACUACUUUGUCUAAAGCUCUGAUUUAAUUUUUAAAAACAUAUAAGUCUAACAAAAUAAGAAUGACUUAGGGAUAAAUCUAACAAGAUAUGUAAAAGAUCUAUAUAUGAAAAACUAUAAAACUCUGACAUAGGAAAUAAAAGAUUUUUAAAAAUUAAUAUAAAUGUCAUGCUCAUGGAUUAGAAGACCCAUUAUUAUUUAAAUGUCAAUUCUUCCCCACUUGAUCUGUAGAGUCAAAAAAACUCAAUAAAAAUUCCAGAAAGU